rnacentral:rRNA from 1 species
CCUACGGGUGGCAGCAGUGGGGAAUAUUGCACAAUGGGGGAAACCCUGAUGCAGCGACGCCGCGUGAAUGAAGAAGGAUUUCGGUAUGUAAAGCUCUAUCAGCAGGGAAGAAAAUGACGGUACCUGAUUAAUAAGCCCCGGCUAACUACGUGCCAGCAGCCGCGGUAAUACGUAGGGAGCAAGCGUUAUCCGGAUUUACUGGGUGUAAAGGGAGCGUAGACGGCAUAACAAGUCUGAGGUGAAAGCCCAUGGCUUAACCAUGGAAUUGCUUUGGAAACUGUGCAGCUGGAGUGCAGGAGAGGUAAGCGGAAUUCCUAGUGUAGCGGUGAAAUGCGUAGAUAUUAGGAGGAACACCAGUGGCGAAGGCGGCUUACUGGACUGUAACUGACGUUGAGGCUCGAAAGCGUGGGGAGCAAACAGGAUUAGAUACCCUAGUAGUC